CCCUGAUAGACGAGGAACAGUACAAUGC
rnacentral:sRNA from 1 species